UCAUAUUUUUUUUAAUUCUCCAAUUCUAGUCAAUUUAGUCAUAAGUAUUUUGUCGUGUAUUUAUCGUGUAUUUAUUCUAGUCAUUUACAUUUAGGGAUUAUCUACCGGGAACAAAUUUUGCAAAUUACCAAGAUUUCGUCCAGGAAUCACUACAACCGGGGGGUGGGGUAUACCCCCACGUUGUCCAAAUUGAACUAGACAACAUCAUCAAGAAAAAAUUCUGGGUUAAAAAAGAGUAUACUUAUCCUAAGGGAAAUGAGUAUGCUUGUACAUUGCUGGUGUUUUUACCAGGCUUAAAAUACAAGGUCACAGUAAUUGAUUGCAUUAAGGACUACGCUAUCACGGAUGCCUACCUCAAGAUAUUUGAACUCCUUUAUCGAUUUGGAAAAAUACUCGUUUCAUUUUUCGCCAGCAAUUAAAAAGUGAAUGACAAUGCCGGGGAACAUAGGAGAGAUUUUGGGAUCGUAAUCAGCAACGGUUCCGACGAAAUCUUUAAUAGAGGGUGUUUGUACAGUCGGGACACAAGGCGUGGGCAUGCGGGAUCUGCAAUCAACGUGACAAGUUCCUCUACAUUCGACACACUUCAAGGCGGGCUUGCCAAAUUUAAUCCUACGCAAUAAGAGGUUUCACUAAUUAAAUUAAAGCCCAGCACAUUUCCCAACGAAAAGAAAAGACAACACAACUCAUCUAUUGCCAUACUUACCAUACUUAUUGUCAUAGUAUAUAAAAGAUUCCCUUGGAGGCCUAUAUAGCAAAGGCACCUGCCUGGCAAAGGCAGGCGCUUUUGUUAUAUAUUCAAGCCUCCCUUGGACAAGACACGAAAGGACAAGACAGUAAAUCCCUACAAACAGGUUUACAGACCACCGGCCAACAACACAGUGGGGGUUUACCUUGUGGAGGACGAAAGGGAGGAGGAAGAUGAAGAUGAAGAAGAAGUGGAAGUUGGUUUGUCUAAGGCUGUGGACCAAGGACAGGGAUUGUGUGGAUAAAUUGCGCCGGAUCCUUUUGACCAAACUGUAAGUUGCUUUUAUCUGAAUUAUUAGUUAGACUGAUUUAUUUAAAAAAAUAAAAAAUAAAAAUCAACUAAAUUUCUCUUCAAUUAGGUUCGCGCUGGCAAAAAAGGAGGAAGAGGAAGCAAAGGAACCCCUGACCCUGCUACUUUAAGAGGAAUUGAUGGCUAAGCCGGACCACCUGGAGAAGUCGGUUCUUGUAGACCUCGCGGACUGCCGAAGGGGGCUGGUGCAGGAGAAGGGGCUGGAGGAAUUAGAAAACAAAGAGAGAAGGCGAGGCCAUCAUUGACAGUUGAGGAUUUUAAAAACGAAAACCAAUCAAUGGUGGCCAACAAGGAAAUGGGAAGGCAAGUUAGAUUUCAGUGGCAGCAAAUCUUUCUGGUCGGCUGCCUUACGUCUAAUGGCAGCCAACGCCAAGAAGAAGAGGCAAAUGAAAUUUCCGCACUAUGUUAUUGACGUGGAAUUUUCGCUGUUCCCCAAGGACAGCCCGGAUAAUUUGUGGUAUUUACCGAAUUUGCGGAAAACUUUCUUCGCAUAUCUAACUGAAGAUUAGCAGCUGCAGACCAUGCUGGCAUUAACGUUUCCCAGAUCUUCCUCGGUCAGUUAGGGAGUUUCUCUAGCUGGCACGUAGAAUACCUGAACUUAAACUAUCUUCAUAACGUUUCAUCAUUAUAACCCAAAACGAAUAAGAAAUUUAUGCAAUCCUUCAUGAACAUUUGCAAUUAAUUAUCCUUUUAUAUUUCUUCGAAUAUCCCAAUUAUCCCCACAUUAUUAGUUUUAAAUUGAUAUUAUCUCCAAUAUUUUAAUUCGUAAAUAUUUGUGUAGUUUUCUAUGCAGAAUUAACACAAAUAUAUUAAGAACGAAAUAAAUUGUGUAUUUGCUAGACCAGAGAUUCAAAACCAACUG